rnacentral:rRNA from 1 species
GCCCAGACCACCAGCUAAGGUCCCAAAAUAUAUGUUAAGUGGAAAAGGAUGUGGCGUUGCCCAGACAACUAGGAUGUUGGCUUAGAAGCAGCCAUCAUUUAAAGAGUGCGUAAUAGCUCACUAGUCGAGUGACACUGCGCCGAAAAUGUACCGGGGCUAAACAUAUUACCGAAGCUGUGGAUUGUCCUUUGGACAAUGGUAGGAGAGCGUUCUAAGGGCGUUGAAGCAUGAUCGUAAGGACAUGUGGAGCGCUUAGAAGUGAGAAUGCCGGUGUGAGUAGCGAAAGACGGGUGAGAAUCCCGUCCACCGAUUGACUAAGGUUUCCAGAGGAAGGCUCGUCCGCUCUGGGUUAGUCGGGUCCUAAGCUGAGGCCGACAGGCGUAGGCGAUGGAUAACAGGUUGAUAUUCCUGUACCACCUAUAAUCGUUUUAAUCGAUGGGGGGACGCAGUAGGAUAGGCGAAGCGUGCGAUUGGAUUGCACGUCUAAGCAGUAAGGCUGAGUAUUAGGCAAAUCCGGUACUCGUUAAGGCUGAGCUGUGAUGGGGAGAAGACAUUGUGUCUUCGAGUCGUUGAUUUCACACUGCCGAGAAAAGCCUCUAGAUAGAAAAUAGGUGCCCGUACCGCAAACCGACACAGGUAGUCAAGAUGAGAAUUCUAAGGUGAGCGAGCGAACUCUCGUUAAGGAACUCGGCAAAAUGACCCCGUAACUUCGGGAGAAGGGGUGCUCUUUAGGGUUAACGCCCAGAAGAGCCGCAGUGAAUAGGCCCAAGCGACUGUUUAUCAAAAACACAGGUCUCUGCUAAACCGUAAGGUGAUGUAUAGGGGCUGACGCCUGCCCGGUGCUGGAAGGUUAAGAGGAGUGGUUAGCUUCUGCGAAGCUACGAAUCGAAGCCCCAGUAAACGGCGGCCGUAACUAUAACGGUCCUAAGGUAGCGAAAUUCCUUGUCGGGUAAGUUCCGACCCGCACGAAAGGCGUAACGAUUUGGGCACUGUCUCAACGAGAGACUCGGUGAAAUCAUAGUACCUGUGAAGAUGCAGGUUACCCGCGACAGGACGGAAAGACCCCGUGGAGCUUUACUGUAGCCUGAUAUUGAAAUUCGGCACAGCUUGUACAGGAUAGGUAGGAGCCUUUGAAACGUGAGCGCUAGCUUACGUGGAGGCGCUGGUGGGAUACUACCCUAGCUGUGUUGGCUUUCUAACCCGCACCACUUAUCGUGGUGGGAGACAGUGUCAGGCGGGCAGUUUGACUGGGGCGGUCGCCUCCUAAAAGGUAACGGAGGCGCUCAAAGGUUCCCUCAGAAUGGUUGGAAAUCAUUCAUAGAGUGUAAAGGCAUAAGGGAGCUUGACUGCGAGACCUACAAGUCGAGCAGGGUCGAAAGACGGACUUAGUGAUCCGGUGGUUCCGCAUGGAAGGGCCAUCGCUCAACGGAUAAAAGCUACCCCGGGGAUAACAGGCUUAUCUCCCCCAAGAGUUCACAUCGACGGGGAGGUUUGGCACCUCGAUGUCGGCUCAUCGCAUCCUGGGGCUGUAGUCGGUCCCAAGGGUUGGGCUGUUCGCCCAUUAAAGCGGUACGCGAGCUGGGUUCAGAACGUCGUGAGACAGUUCGGUCCCUAUCCGUCGUGGGCGUAGGAAAUUUGAGAGGAGCUGUCCUUAGUACGAGAGGACCGGGAUGGACAUACCUCUGGUGUACCAGUUGUCGUGCCAACGGCAUAGCUGGGUAGCUAUGUGUGGACGGGAUAAGUGCUGAAAGCAUCUAAGCAUGAAGCCCCCCUCAAGAUGAGAUUUCCCAACUUCGGUUAUAAGAUCCCUCAAAGAUGAUGAGGUUAAUAGGUUCGAGGUGGAAGCAUGGUGACAUGUGGAGCUGACGAAUACUAAUCGAUCGAAGACUUAAUCAA